CACCUCCCGGAGCCAGGGGCUGGCGGCGGUGCUAUUUUACAUUAUUUUAUAAGUCUUCCUUCAAAUUUCUCUGUGCUACGGAAGCAGGGAUUGGAACACCCCCACACAGGGUGUCCCCAAGGCUGUGGCAAUCAGCAGCAGGGACAAAUUGCUGCGAGGUGGUGGCACCUCCGCCCACCUGCAUCCGCAGCAUCCACCUGCACUGUCGGGGCUGGAGCCCUGGGGCAAACCGGGACUGUCAGCCCUGCGGGGCUCCCCGUUUUGUGGGGCUGCGGGGUCCCUGCAGAGCCGCACGAGUCUCUCGGUUCCGCACCGCUCCCGACUGUCGCCCCCUGUCCUGCCCCGCUGCUGCUGAGAGCCCCGACCCCGCAGUGCCGCAAUUAAACCUGGGUGCAUUUACUUCAUCAAACAGCCCCGCUCGUCCCCAUGCGAGGACGCUCCUCCCUCCUCCUGCCCCUCCUCCCCUUCUUUCUCCCUCGUCCCAGCUUUAGCCAGAGCAGCCGCUGCUUCCUGCUGUAUUUAAGCUGCUUCAGCGCCGGCUCCGUGUCCGGGGAGGGAUGGGAAAUGAAUGUGUAACUUAUAAAUGCCUUUAAGCCAGAAAUGUAAACCAUUAACUGCUCAUUUGUAUACAUUAUUUUUAUAUACUGAAGGCCUGUUUAAUCUAAAGCAGAACUGGUAAUAAAAUGUCUCAGCGGA